CCAGGGGCUGGGAACUUCUCUCCUUCAGGGCAGGAUGUUGCUGGGCAGACACUGAAUUUAUGGGAGACAGAUCCAGAGUGCUCCGGUGUGAGGCAGCAGCUCCUGUUUGUGCAAAAAAAUCAGCAAGAGAGGCCCAUUUGACACAUGGAGGUAAGACCAAAGAGAUGUGCCACAGCACCUACAAAAUGGGUUUCCUGAUGGCUGAGGAGCAAAAUGCUCUGGGGCCAGCUGGAUUUCCAAGGCUCCACCAUUCAUGGCCUGGGUCUCCAAAAGCAGAACCUCCUGGAGUCUCAGCACAGCUGUGUCUGAGCACUGCUGCACAACAAUCCUCUACCCCUGCCUUUGUUGUGAGCCAUGGAAAGCAAGUUCCUACCGGCUUUUGUGCUUCAAUAAAUAAAAGACUUGAAAAAGACAACUUUUACUGCCAUCAGGGCUGGCUCCAAAAUAGAAACUUGGCAGUUUUGAUUCGGUUGGUGUCACAAGGAAACUGUCCCCUUAUGCAUACAGCAAGUGUUCUGCUUCCAAAUUCUCACACCUUCAUGCUGAUGUUGGCUGCAUCCUAUGGGAAAGUGAAAAUAACAAAGCCUGGUGCAAAGAAACAAUAUGUUUUCCUUGGGGUUAAAUGGUCAAAUAAGUGUGGGAAAAGGUAUCACGCACUUGCUUGUGAAAGAAAUGAGUUUCUCAGGCAUCCUCCCCCAUUGUGGUAUUGGUUACCACAGAACAAACUUUUUCCAUCCCAACUCCUACCCAUAGUUACAUCAGACAAAGUUAUCACCAGACUACGUUUUCUUCAUACAACAUUCCUUCUCCCUGGAAAAGCAGGAGGAAACCUGUCUGUACAGCAAGAGUCAAUCACACAGCACCACUGCAAGCAUUUCCUGGCCUACUAGUUUCUCCUUCCAUGCUGCUGCAGCUCAAGGGGUUUUACCUCAUAGUGUCUGGGUUUGGAAAGGGAAGGGAGUGUAAAGUUGCUUUGAUAUAAUUUACAGGAGCUCUUAGUACCAUGUUAUACAUACAUGAAUCCUGGAUGUAACUUGAAGAGAAUUUGGUUUUAAUCUGAGCCCUUGAAUUUCACAUAUGGGAAAAAGCCAUUCAAUUUCAGAUUGUUUAUUUAUGAUGGUGUGGUGGAAACGUAGGUGAAA
rnacentral:lncRNA from 1 species